rnacentral:rRNA from 1 species
UACGGAGGGUGCGAGCGUUGUUCGGAAUCAUUGGGCGUAAAGCGCGUGUAGGCGGCUUGGUAAGUCGGGUGUGAAAUCCCGGGGCUCAACCCCGGAACUGCAUUCGAAACUGCCUCGCUAGAGUCCCGGAGAGGAAGGCGGAAUUCCCGGUGUAGAGGUGAAAUUCGUAGAUAUCGGGAGGAACACCAGCGGCGAAGGCGGCCUUCUGGACGGUGACUGACGCUGAGACGCGAAAGCGUGGGGAGCAAACAGG